rnacentral:rRNA from 1 species
GAUGAACGCUGGCGGCGUGCCUAAUACAUGCAAGUCGAGCGAUCAGACGAGGAGCUUGCUCCUCUGACGUUAGCGGCGGACGGGUGAGUAACACGUGGAUAACCUACCUAUAAGACUGGGAUAACUUCGGGAAACCGGAGCUAAUACCGGAUAAUAUAUUGAACCGCAUGGUUCAAUAGUGAAAGACGGUUUUGCUGUCACUUAUAGAUGGAUCCGCGCCGCAUUAGCUAGUUGGUAAGGUAACGGCUUACCAAGGCGACGAUGCGUAGCCGACCUGAGAGGGUGAUCGGCCACACUGGAACUGAGACACGGUCCAGACUCCUACGGGAGGCAGCAGUAGGGAAUCUUCCGCAAUGGGCGAAAGCUUGACGGAGCAACGCCGCGUGAGUGAUGAAGGUCUUCGGAUCGUAAAACUCUGUUAUUAGGGAAGAACAAAUGUGUAAGUAACUAUGCACGUCUUGACGGUACCUAAUCAGAAAGCCACGGCUAACUACGUG